rnacentral:rRNA from 1 species
AGGGUUUGAUCCUGGCUCAGGGUGAACGCUGGCGGCGUGCCUAACACAUGCAAGUCGAUCGGAGCAGCAAUGCUUAGAGGCGAACGGGUGAGGAAAACGUAGUAACCAACCCUUUAGACUGGGAUAGCCACUGGAAACGGUGGGUAAUACCGGAUAAGCUCGAGAGAGGAAAGGCAGAGAAGCGCUAAAGGACGGAACUGCGCCCCAUCAGAUAGUUGGUGAGGUAAAGGCUUACCAAGUCAAAGACGGGAAACCGACGUGAGAGCGUGUACGGUCACAAGGGCACUGAGAGACGGGCCCUACUCCUACGGGAGGCAGCAGUGGGGAAUAUUGGACAAUGGACGAAAGUCUGAUCCAGCGACGCCGCGUGGAGGAAGAAGUCCUUCGGGAUGUAAACUCAUGAAGCUAACGAAUAAGACGGAAGGGGAACCUUCCGGGAGAAGGUAAUUAGUGAAAAGCCCCGGCUAACUACGUGCCAGCAGCCGCGGUAAUACGUAGGGGGCGAGCGUUGUCCGGAAUUACUGGGCGUAAAGGGAACGUAGGUGGCUCUUAAAGUCAGGUGUGAAAAUAACGAAGCUUAACAGGUUAAUGCGCUUGAAACUAAAGGGCUUGAGGGCAAUAGAGGGAGAUGGAAUUACCUGUGUAGGGGUGAAAUCCGCAGAUAUAGGUAAGAAGGCCGGUGGGGAAGCCGAUCUCCUGGGUUGACUCUGACACUGAGGUUCGAAAGCUAGGGGAGCAAACCGGAUUAGAUACCCGGGUAGUCCUAGCCGUAAACGAUGCUCACUGGGUGUGGGUCGAAAAGAUCUGUGCUGAAGCUAACGCGAUAAGUGAGCCGCCUGGGGAGUACGUCCGCAAGGAUGAAACUCAAAGGAAUUGACGGGGGUCCGCACAAGCGGUGGAGCAUGU